rnacentral:rRNA from 1 species
AGAAACCAACAGGGAUUGCCUUAGUAACGGCGAGUGAAGCGGCAACAGCUCAAAUUUGAAAGCUGGCUCCUUUGGAGUCCGCGUUGUAAUUUGUAGAGGAUGAUUCGGCAAGGGCUCCCGCCUAAGUCUCCUGGAACGGAGCGUCAUAGAGGGUGAGAAUCCCGUAUGCGGUGGGCUGCCUAAGCCAUGUGAAUCUCCUUCGACGAGUCGAGUUGUUUGGGAAUGCAGCUCUAAAUGGGAGGUAAAUUUCUUCUAAAGCUAAAUACCGGCCAGAGACCGAUAGCGCACAAGUAGAGUGAUCGAAAGAUGAAAAGCACUUUGGAAAGAGAGUUAAAAAGUACGUGAAAUUGUUGAAAGGGAAGCGCUUGCAGCCAGACUUGUCCGCAGUUGCUCAGCCGGUCUCCUGACCGGUGUACUCUUCUGCGGCCAGGCCAGCAUCAGUUCGGGCGGUCGGAUAAAGACCUCGGGAAUGUAGCUCCUCUCGGGGAGUGUUAUAGCCCGGGGUGGAAUGCGGCCAGCCUGGACUGAGGAUCUCGCUUCGGCUAGGAUGCUGGCGUAAUGGCUGUAAGCGGCCCGUCUUGAAACACGGACCAAGGAGUCUAACAUCUAUGCGAGUGUUUGGGUGUCAAACCCAUGCGCGUAAUGAAAGUGAACGGAGGUGGGAACCCUCACGGGUGCACCAUCGACCGAUCCUGAUGUCUUCGGAUGGAUUUGAGUAAGAGCAUAGCUGUUGGGACCCGAAAGAUGGUGAACUAUGCCUGAAUAGGGUGAAGCCAGAGGAAACUCUGGUGGAGGCUCGCAGCGGUUCUGACGUGCAAAUCGAUCGUCAAAUUUGGGUAUAGGGGCGAAAGACUAAUCGAA